rfam:Myotis davidii contig96587, whole genome shotgun sequence.
GGUGGUUCUCGGGUGACGCACCUUGGAAUCAGGCUCCCUUCUCUCUGGUUUUGGGUGUGUCAUCCGAGAACCACU